GACGAACGCUGGCGGCGUGCUUAACACAUGCAAGUCGAACGGUAAGGCCCUUCGGGGUACACGAGUGACGAACGGGUGAGUAACACGUGGGUGAUCUGCCCUGCACUUCGGGAUAAGCCUGGGAAACUGGGUCUAAUACCGGAUAGGACCCUGGGAUGCAUGUCCUGGGGUGGAAAGCUUUUGCGGUGUGGGAUGGGCCUGCGGCCUAUCAGCUUGUUGGUGGGGUGAUGGCCUACCAAGGCAACGACGGGUAGCCGGCCUGAGAGGGUGACCGGCCACACUGGGACGGAGAUACGGCCCAGACUCCUACGGGAGGCAGCAGUGGGGAAUAUUGCACAAUGGGCGCAAGCGUGAUGCAGCGACGCCGCGUGAGGGAUGACGGCCUUCGGGUUGUAAACCUCUUUCAGCACCGACGAAGCGCAAGUGACGGUAGGUGCAGAAGAAGGACCGGCCAACUACGUGCCAGCCGCCGCCGUAA
rnacentral:rRNA from 1 species